AACCAGAAGCAGCAGGCAUAAAUGUCUCCCAGGCAGCCUGCAUCUGUUUAUUCCAUUUUAUAAAGUGCUGCUGACUGACUGACGUCAGAUCCUGGAGCGUGGGGAUGGAAGGAUUUCAUGGAGUUUGCCAAAUGAGGGCGUAUCCAGACUUUCUGACUGGGGUGGCACAACUUGGGCACUGAUGUGUCUCAGCUUUCCAUUCAUUCCCGAUACAGCCCUCAUGGCCAUCUUCCAGCUCAGAGACAGACUGUCCGUUGCAGCGAGCAGCUCUUCAGGCCUCAGCAGACCAAAGUGGACUACACGCAGACUAUUUCCAUCCUGGUUAACCACCGUUACACUCAUCCUUCUCACGACAGAACAGACAAUUGUGAGAGAUGAUUGUGACAGAUAUGUCCUCACAGGACCAAACCUGUGAGCCUUUAAAAAGUCAUGAAUUCUACAUGCUGGUGGACUGUUUCCUCAAAUAAAUAAAUAAUAAAUAAAUAAAAUUCUGUAUGGAGUAAAGAGCUCAUGCUUACUCUGCAAAUCUUGUAUACUCCUUGUUACAGAAAGACCAUAAUAGCCUCGCCUGCUGUCACUCAGAAUAAAAUCAUGUGAACCUUGUGUGGCAAAAUAUUUCUACCUUCAUUUAUUCAUUCCCUUAAUUGUAUUCUUUGUGCAGUCAUGCAUGUGUGCUGAUGUGUGGAUGAUGGGAGUGUGUUGGUCUAUAUAUGUUCAUAUUUAAGCAUGCGGAUUGUGUUUGGGUUCAUACAUGUGAGCAGGGGUUAUCACUGUGACUUUAACAGCAGUGAUAA
rnacentral:lncRNA from 1 species